rnacentral:rRNA from 1 species
GUGGGGAAUUUUGGACAAUGGGCGCAAGCCUGAUCCAGCAAUGCCGCGUGCAGGAAGAAGGCCUUCGGGUUGUAAACUGCUUUUGUACGGAACGAAACGGUCCUGGCUAAUAUCCGGGGCUAAUGACGGUACCGUAAGAAUAAGCACCGGCUAACUACGUGCCAGCAGCCGCGGUAAUACGUAGGGUGCGAGCGUUAAUCGGAAUUACUGGGCGUAAAGCGUGCGCAGGCGGUGCUGUAAGACAGGCGUGAAAUCCCCGGGCUCAACCUGGGAAUUGUGCUUGUGACUGCAGUGCUGGAGUGCGGCAGAGGGGGAUGGAAUUCCGCGUGUAGCAGUGAAAUGCGUAGAUAUGCGGAGGAACACCGAUGGCGAAGGCAAUCCCCUGGGCCUGCACUGACGCUCAUGCACGAAAGCGUGGGGAGCAAACAGGAUUAGAUACCCCUGUAGUCC